rnacentral:rRNA from 1 species
UACGUAGGCAGCGAGCGUUGUUCGGAGUUACUGGGCGUAAAGGGUGUGUAGGCGGUUGUUUAAGUUUGGUGUGAAAUCUCCCGGCUCAACUGGGAGGGUGCGCCGAAUACUGAAUGACUUGGAGUGCGGAAGAGGAAAGUGGAAUUCCUGGUGUAGCGGUGGAAUGCGUAGAUAUCAGGAGGAACACCGGUGGUGUAGACGGCUUUCUGGACCGUAACUGACGCUGAGACACGAAAGCGUGGGUAGCAAACAGG